rnacentral:rRNA from 1 species
UACGUAGGGUGCAAGCGUUGUCCGGAAUUAUUGGGCGUAAAGAGCGUGUAGGCGGCCCGACCAGUCCGCUGUGAAAGUCCAGGGCUCAACCCUGGAAUGCCGGUGGAUACUGUCGGGCUAGAGUCCGGAAUGGGCGAGUGGAAUUCCUGGUGUAGCGGUGAAAUGCGCAGAUAUCAGGAGGAACACCGGUGGCGAAGGCGGAUCUCUGGGCCGGUACUGACGCUGAGGAGCGAAAGCGUGGGGAGCGAACAGG